GGGUUUCCUUAUAAGUCACCAGCGGCGGUUUAUCCUCAUCCGUGUCUUCUUCCCUCAUCCGAGCUUUUUUUGUUGUACGCGUCGCCUGCAAUGGCGGUGAAAAAACCCCUGCGAAGCUAGGGUUUCUGCCUCCUCCGAUGUUUUCGGAGCUUCCUAACAUUCCGGAACGUUUAAUAAUUUAUAUUUUAUUUUACUGUCCGACAUUUCUAAAUUAGGGACUAUUGUUAAUUAUAAGAGUUAGGUCCACAAACGAUAGCUUUUUUUAAAUAAAAAAUAAAAAUAAAAUUAUUGAGACACAGGAUAUGAUAGUUGAAACCCAUGUUUGUGGACCGAAUUUGACAGGCAACCACUUGAAAUUUAUGCCUCACACUUGAGAUCGAUUGGAUUCAUGGUGAUGAAGAGUAUUUAAACACUUAAGUACUAGUAGUAUCAUUUAGCAGUAUUGUUUCUUAAUAUUUUUACUCUCUCUCCCUCGUGAUCGUCAUGGCAGAAAAACAUAGCGUGAAAAUACAUUCAGUUAGCAAAAUCAGCCCGCCGUCGUCCGACUCAGUCAUCGCCUCCACUCUUCCACUCACCUACUUCGAUACUCUCUGGCUAAAAUUUCCACCUUCAGAACGCCUUUUUCCAUCCAGUAAGAAUUGUGACACGAGAGGUUUAUUUAGUGCAACUUGCACUACGAUACGCGCAAAUUUACCUCUCGUCGCAGACUCUGUGUUAUAAUCAAUCCUUAAAACCUUACCAAUGAUUAGCCCCAACAUCCUGAGAAUGCAUUUAUGAUAGUAGUGAAGAGGCAUUCCAGGCAGGCGAAUCCAAGCAAUAAUAGAGUCAAUUGUCUUAGUGGAACUUUCAAAACGCAGGUGCCAUGGUUGUACAGUCAAGUAGUGCCCUAGGAUCGUCCAUGGACCCUGAGUUAGAGCAUGAUGGGCAUCUGUUUCAGUUUUAAACCAAACUAAAUAGAAAUCAUUUUCCAGGUCAAUCACAGAGAAUCCUUGGACAUUCCCCACAAGGAUUCUAAUCUGUUGCACAAGGCUCUAUACCCCAUGGUCCGCCCCAAAAGCUUCACAAUCACAGCAUUUUUCCACGGUCUUUCAAGUUGUGCAUGUACCUUCUGUGAAAAGGAUAUCGACAGGAUUUGGCCCUCCUUUUCAAUAACGACAUCUUCAGACCCAAACUCCAGAUCUUCUUCAGUCCCUACCAACUCCUCCUCCAUCGCUAGUCGGUCCUACAUCAGCUUAUCUUUAAAGGACAUAAACUGGGCACUCUCCUCACUACCUGCCUGAUCUUUGAAUCUCGCCUUCUUAGUUUGCCUAUCAUCCUCAACUAGAUGGGGGAAGGUUUUCACAAAGUCUGGUUCCAGUUCCGGUUCCAUCUUUUUUUCUUGUAUUUUCUAUUUAUUUAGCAAUCAUCUAUAAUGUAAUUUAAUUACUACAACAAUAGCUUUUACACUAAUUAAUUUACCACAUCCACUUGAUAUAAACAAGUUUUUCUCGAUAGCUAGACAACCAUUCAAUUAAAAUUAAAAUGAAAUGUGCGCAGAGGCUUUUUGUGAUGUAUCACUUUCUCUCAUGAGGACCACUAUUUUCAAAUUCCUUCUUUCGGAUUUUUUUUCCAAAACAAGCAGUUUUAUUGGAAAACGUAUCUAUAAGCUGUCCGACAUUUCUAAAUUAGGGACACUAUUGUUAAUUAUAAGAGUUAGGUCCACAAACGAUAGCUUUUUUUAAAUAAAAAUAAAUAAAAUUAUUGAGACACAGGAUAUGAUAGUUGAAACCCAUGUUUGUGGACUGAAUUUGACAGGCAACCACUUGAAAUUUAUGCUUCACACUUGAGAUCGAUUGGAUUCAUGGUGAUGAAGAGUAUUUAAACACUUGACCGACCAGAGCAGAGUACUAGUAGUAUCAUUUAGCAGUAUUGUUUCUUAAUAUUUUCACUCUCUCUCCCUCGUGAUCGUCAUGGCAGAAAACAUAGCGUGAAAAUAAAUUCAGUUAGCAAAAUCAGCCCGCCGUCGUCCGACUCAGUCAUCGCCUCCACUCUUCCACUCACCUACUUCGAUACUCUCUGGCUAAAAUUUCCACCUUCAGAACGCCUCUUUUUCUAUCAAAUCACUGACCUAACUUUCGAUUUAUUCAACUCAGUGAUCCUUCCGAAGCUCGCUGACUCUCUCUCUCUCACUCUCCUUCAUUACCUCCCCCUCGCCGGUCACAUAAUGUGGCCUGCGGACUCCGCGAAGCCAGCUAUUUACUACUUCCCUGACCAAAACGACGGCAUCUCAUUCACCGUUGCUGAAUCCGACGCCGACUUCAGCCACCUC
rnacentral:lncRNA from 1 species